GAUGAACGCUAGCUACAGGCUUAACACAUGCAAGUCGAGGGGCAGCGGGAUUGAAGCUUGCUUCAAUUGCCGGCGACCGGCGCACGGGUGAGUAACGCGUAUCCAACCUUCCGUACACUCAGGGAUAGCCUUUCGAAAGAAAGAUUAAUACCUGAUGGUAUGAUGAGAUCGCAUGGUAUCAUCAUUAAAGAUUUAUCGGUGUACGAUGGGGAUGCGUUCCAUUAGGUAGUAGGCGGGGUAACGGCCCACCUAGCCUACGAUGGAUAGGGGUUCUGAGAGGAAGGUCCCCCANAUUGGAACUGAGACACGGUCCAAAACUCCUACGGGAGGCAGCAGUGAGGAAUAUUGGUCAAUGGACGAGAGUCUGAACCAGCCAAGUAGCGUGAAGGAUGAAGGUCCUACGGAUUGUAAACUUCUUUAUAAGGGAAUAAACCCUCCACGUGUAGGAUUUUGUAUGUACCGUAUGAAUAAGCAUCGGCUAACUCCGUGCCAGCAGCC
rnacentral:rRNA from 1 species